UCCCAGAGCUUAACUCUGGAACUGCCAUUAAAACUUUUCAGCUAGAGUAUGAUAGAGGAAAGCAGAAUUUCUAGUGUAGAGGUGAAAUUCGUAGAUAUUAGAAAGAAUACCAAUUGCGAAGGCAGCUUUCUGGAUCAUUACUGACACUGAGGAACGAAAGCAUGGGUAGCGAAGAGGAUUAGAUACCCUCGUAGUCCAUGCCGUAAACGAUGUGUGUUAGACGUUGGAAAUUUAUUUUCAGUGUCGCAGGGAAACCGAUAAACACACCGCCUGGGGAGUACGACCGCAAGGUUAAAACUCAAAUGAAUUGACGGGGACCCGCACAAGUAGUGGAGCAUGUGGUUUAAUUCGAAGAUACGCGCAGAACCUUACCAACACUUGACAUGUUCGUCGCGACUCUAAGAGAUUAGAGUUUUCGGUUCGGCCGGACGAAACACAGGUGCUGCAUGGCUGUCGUCAGCUCGUGUCGUGAGAUGUUGGGUUAAGUCCCGCAACGAGCGCAACCCUCACUUUUAGUUGCCAUCAUUAAGUUGGGCACUCUGAAAGAACUGCCAGUGAUAAGCUGGAGGAAGGUGGGGAUGACGUCAAGUCCUCAUGGCCCUUACGUGUUGGGCUACACACGUGCUACAAUGGUAUCUACAACAGGAAGCAAGACUGCGAAGUUAAGCAAAUCCCUAAAAGAUACCUCAGUUCGGAUUGCACUCUGCAACUCGAGUGCAUGAAGCUGGAAUUACUAGUAAUCGUGGAUCAGCGUGCCACGGUGAAUGCGUUCCCGGGUCUUGUACACACCGCCCGUCACACCA
rnacentral:rRNA from 1 species